AUUCAGCUGACGAGUCCCAAAUAGGACGAAGUGACGCUCGUCCUGGAU
rfam:Schistosoma rodhaini strain Burundi genome assembly, scaffold: SROB_scaffold0015004